rnacentral:lncRNA from 1 species
GAAAGUCCCACAAUCUUUUUCUUCUCUAUUUUCAGGUAGAUGCAUUUUAUUACUAUAUUCUAUCUAUCCAUUUAUUCCAUCUAUCCCAUUUAUCAUCUACCUACCUAUUAUUAUCUAUCAUCUAUGUAUUCCAUCUACCUGUCAUUGAUCUAUCUAUCAUCUACCAAUGUACAUUUUUGUCUUGUAGAAAAACGUUGACCUCUUGGUGAGAAUGUAAAGAAGGGAACGCUUGCUUAUACACUGUUGGUGAACUGUCACCCCUACAACUCAGCUUGCAACCAGCCCUGGCCACCACCAGUUUCCCCACACUGAGCUGAAUAUUGGACAUGCCCAUCUUAGGCAUUCCAGCCCAUUCUGAAAUUCCACAUCGAUUCACCCGACAAAGUCUGAAGUUCCAGGGCAAUUUAUCUGGAAAAGCUCACCUGGAAUCACGUGUCAUUUCAACCAACAACUGUUGAAGAGGACGUGGCAUUAAAACCAAGGGUAUCAAUUAUUUAUAAGGGCUGUGUGCUGGUUGGUCCAAGCAUCUCUCCUUCAUGCCAUCACUCCUUUCAAGAGCUGCCUCUGUUUUCUAAUUUAGCACAGGAAUUUAGAUGCCCCUAAAUAAGUAGGCAUCCAGUAUCUGCCCACACCAGUUUUUGUAAGAGUACAUAUGGAGACACUGCCACCACCCCUGCUCUCCUACUGCAUACCCCACCAUGCCAAAGCAUGGUGGCUCACACCUGUAAUCCCAGUGCUUUGGGAGGCCAAAGAGGAGGAACACUUGAGAUCAGAGGUCUGAGACGAGCCUGGGCAACAUAGUGAAACCUCAUUUCUACAAAUAAGUUAGAAUAUAUAUAUGUAGGGCAUAGUGGCACACACCUGUGGUUUCAGCUUUUCAGCAAGCUGAGGCCGGAAGAUCACUUGAGCCCAGGAGUUUGAGGAUGCAGUGAGCUAGGAUUAUGCCACUGCACUGUAGCCUGGGCAGCGGAGAGACCCCAUCUCUAAAAAGAGGAGAAGGAGGGAAAAUACUGCUCCUUCUCAGACCCAAAGUAAAAAGGUUUCUGGUCUCACACUGACCAGAAAAACAUUGAUAUUUACUUAAGCAAUAUUAAAAGGGUCACUGCUUUAGAACAGGAUUAAAGAGAAAGUAAAAUCAACAUUGAGAUAGGAC